rnacentral:rRNA from 1 species
UACGUAGGGUGCGAGCGUUGUCCGGAAUUAUUGGGCGUAAAGAGCUUGUAGGCGGUCUGUCGCGUCUGCUGUGAAAAUCCGGGGCUCAACCCCGGACUUGCAGUGGGUACGGGCAGACUAGAGUGUGGUAAGGGAGACUGGAAUUCCUGGUGUAGCGGUGAAAUGCGCAGAUAUCAGGAGGAACACCGAUGGCGAAGGCAGGUCUCUGGGCCACUACUGACGCUGAGAAGCGAAAGCAUGGGGAGCGAACAGG